rnacentral:rRNA from 1 species
CCAGCACCUGCGGUAAUUCCAGCUCCAAUAGCGUAUAUUAAAGUUGUUGCGGUUAAAAAGUUCGUAGUUGGAUUUCUGUGUGACGUUACCCUGCAGCUCUUGCUGAUGUGUGGUGGUGUCGUGCAUAUUUCCGGGGUUUCAGCAUUCGUGUUGUUAAUUCUGGAUAUGUUACUUUGAGGAAAUUAGAGUGUUCCAGGCAGGCUUACGCCGUGAAUAUAUUAGCAUGGAAUAACAAGAUAUGGCUUCGGUUUUAUUUUGUUGGUUUCUAGAGUCGUAGCAAUGUUAAAUAGGGACAGUCGGGGGCAUUCGUAUUUAACUGUCAGAGGUGAAAUUCUUGGAUUAGUUAAGGACGGACUACUGCGAAAGCAUUUGCCCAGUAUGUUCCCAUUGAUCAAGAACG